rnacentral:rRNA from 1 species
GAUGAACGCUGGCGGCGUGCCUAAUACAUGCAAGUCGAGCGAAUGGAUUAAGAGCUUGCUCUUAUGAAGUUAGCGGCGGACGGGUGAGUAACACGUGGGUAACCUGCCCAUAAGACUGGGAUAACUCCGGGAAACCGGGGCUAAUACCGGAUAACAUUUUGAACCGCAUGGUUCGAAAUUGAAAGGCGGCUUCGGCUGUCACUUAUGGAUGGGCCCGCGUCGCAUUAGCUAGUUGGUGAGGUAACGGCUCACCAAGGCAACGAUGCGUAGCCGACCUGGGAGGGUGAUCGGCCACCCUGGGACUGGGACACGGCCCAGACUCCUCCGGGAGGCAGCAGUAGGGAAUCUUCCGCAAUGGACGAAAGUCUGACGGAGCAACGCCGCGUGAGUGAUGAAGGCUUUCGGGUCGUAAAACUCUGUUGUUAGGGAAGAACAAGUGCUAGUUGAAUAAGCUGGCACCUUGACGGUACCUAACCAGAAAGCCACGGCUAACUACGUGCCAGCCGCCGCUGUAA